rnacentral:rRNA from 1 species
ACCAUGCAGUCGAACGAUGAACCACUUCGGUGGGGAUUAGUGGCGAACGGGUGAGUAACACGUGGGCAAUCUGCCCUUCACUCUGGGACAAGCCCUGGAAACGGGGUCUAAUACCGGAUGACACUCCUACUCGCAUGGGUGGGGGUUGAAAGCUCCGGCGGUGAAGGAUGAGCCCGCGGCCUAUCAGCUUGUUGGUGAGGUAGUGGCUCACCAAGGCGACGACGGGUAGCCGGCCUGAGAGGGCGACCGGCCACACUGGGACUGAGACACGGCCCAGACUCCUACGGGAGGCAGCAGUGGGGAAUAUUGCACAAUGGGCGAAAGCCUGAUGCAGCGACGCCGCGUGAGGGAUGACGGCCUUCGGGUUGUAAACCUCUUUCAGCAGGGAAGAAGCGAAAGUGACGGUACCUGCAGAAGAAGCGCCGGCUAACUACGUGCCAGCAGCCGCGGUAAUACGUAGGGCGCAAGCGUUGUCCGGAAUUAUUGGGCGUAAAGAGCUCGUAGGCGGUCUGUCGCGUCGGAUGUG